rnacentral:misc_RNA from 1 species
CGCACAUUGCGCCCUUUGGUAUUCCGAGGGGCAUGCCUGUUCGAGCGUCAUUUCAACCAUCAAGCCCAGCUUGGUAUUGGACCCGGUCUUGGGGCCAGUCCAUAACUAGUUGGCGGUGCUGUGCAGCCUUAAGCGUAACAGAAAUCUCGCUUCUAGGUUUGACACGGCGUCUGCCAGUUAAGACAUUCUCUGAAGUUUGACCUCGGAUCAGGUAGGGAUACCCGCUGAACUUAA